rnacentral:lncRNA from 1 species
GUAACAGCCCGGCCCUUUUCCACCGGCACUGUUACCACUCACAGCCCGGACUGGCUCCAGCGCUGUGAGCAGCUCUUAACAUCCUCUCACCCUCACGGGCUCUUGAGGCAGGAUUUGUCCCUCGGGGGAGCCACUACGGCCCACCCUAGCCCAAGGUUUUUGGCUUAUGGCACUUUUCCACCAUAAGUCGCCUCCCCCACUACUCGAACCCUUGACCUCCCACUUUAAGGGAAUAGUCUGGUGAGAGUGAGUACCAUUUGUUCAAGUUGAACAAAUGGUACUCACUCUCACCAGACUAUUCCCUUAAAGUGGGAGGUCAAGGGUUCGAGUAGUGGGGGAGGCGACUUAUGGUGGAAAAGUGCCAUAAGCCAAAAACCUUGGGCUAGGGUGGGCCGUAGUGGCUCCCCCGAGGGACAAAUC